AAACUUUUGUUUCAAACUGUUUACUUUUAUGUUACUUUUUUCCCUAGGAUAUCAAUUAGAAUGACAGAAGGGUAAAAGUUUCUCUUUUAUACUGAAAGGCUAGAGAGGAUAAAGCAUUUGUUUUCAGGUACGCUGGGCACUGAGGUAUCUUACUGACAUCUUUGUUCUUUUUGUAGAAGAAGGCUAUGUAAAAAUGUUUCUUCGUGGACGCCCUGUUACCAUGUACAUGCCCAAAGAUCAAGUGGAUUCUUACAGCUUGGAAGCAAAAGUAGAACUUCCAACCAAGAGACUCAAGCUGGAAUGGGUCUAUGGGUACAGGGGUCGAGACUGCCGUAACAACCUGUACUUGCUUCCGACGGGAGAGACCGUCUACUUCAUCGCAUCCGUGGUGGUGUUAUACAACGUGGAGGAGCAACUGCAGAGGCAUUACGCUGGUCACAACGAUGACGUGAAGUGCCUAGCAGUUCAUCCUGAUCGGAUCACGAUAGCAACAGGACAAGUUGCGGGCACAUCGAAGGAUGGAAAACAAUUGCCCCCACAUGUGCGCAUCUGGGAUUCUGUGACAUUGAAUACUCUCCAC
rnacentral:sRNA from 1 species